GGCGACCGCCCGGGGGUCGGAGGGGUCUGUCGUGAAGUGACCUGCCGGGCUGGAGCGAUUGAGGAGCGUGGGCUCGGCCCUAGCAGGAGCCGGAGGGCUGGCUGCAGUUCUCCUGUAACCGCGCUGUGGUCUAGAAAAGAGCCUAAAGCGCUCUGCUGGUUGCUGCUGCUUUUGCUCUUCUAUGCUUCAGUAUGUUUUCUUCUUGAGCAUCCCGCCCCUGUGCUCCAGCUCCGUGUGAGAAGCUUCUGUCCACGGCGGCUGGAAGGCAAUCUAGAUAAUCCAUGGAGAUUCAGUCCAUGGAGACAAGACGGUGACAAAAAAAAAAAAAAGAGGAAGAGACAUCUGAUCUGCAGCAUGACUAUAGUUGGACAUUUUACGGACCUUUCAGUGAAUAGAUCUAUAAUAGAACAGUGUAAGAAGUAGAAGCACACACAUUUAUCAUCCUACCUCAUUCACAGUAGUAGGAGGUUUUGAUUUCUAAAGCAGUAAAUACCCUCAAGUCUUCCCAAGACAUUUUUUUCCAUCUUGAACUUUGAUGGCAAACCCCAACUCUGCUGAAUGACUUGUUUAAGACAGUAUGCAGAAGUCAUGCAUUCAGCAGCUCCUCUCAAAUUAUCUUGAAACAGCCUCAUAAAAUGUUUCCUGUUCACAGAUUAUCAGCUUCCAGGUGUUUUUUUUUCCUUUUUAAACUAUGCAUAGACCAAAGCAAGACCUAGAAAGACUAUGUACAUUUUGUCAAAUCCUUGCUGCAAUGUAAAAAUAAAAAAAUAAAAAAAAUCAUGCAAGUCCAUAUUUCACUCAAGAUUAAAAAUCACCUGCCAGAAGAACAACUGCUUGCUAUCCUGUGUAUUUUCAUAACAUGAUUUUAACUUGUGUUUCACGCUUUCAGGAUAAGAUUCAGAAGCCCGUAUUUGAUAAAAUUAAGCUUGGUAGAUGGUAACACCAUUAUACUAUUUUGAAGCCAUACAUUUCCUCUGCCAGCAGAUUUAUGAGUGGGACUUUGCAUUUUAUUAUAUUUUGGUAGUUCGUAGUGCUAGGUCUUCCUCUGGCAGCUUACAGCAUAGAAGCAUUUUUUUUCAGCCAAAUAUAUAUGUAUUUUAAUCUCCUGUGAGAGUUUUUAAAGAACAUAUUUUGAUGUGGCUUCUGACUUUCUCUGGACACCUUAAGGAUUCCUAUUUUGGAGAGAUUUUACUGGAAGCUGUACUGAUGCCCUGGCAGCGAAGAGGGCAAACCACAGUUUGGGGUGCAUUAAACACAACAUAGCCAGCUAGUCAAAUGAGGCACUGUUUAUGGUGCAAGGGAACAGCCCAAAGCUGUGGAAGGAGAGGACUGGGAAUUAGGAAGCAUUUAUUCUCUGCGAGCACAUUCAAACACUGAACAGGCUUCCUAGCAAGGUGGUUGACGCCUAUGUUCAAGAGCCAUGAGAGUAAUGGCCCUAGUAAUAUGCUUUAACUUUUGGUUAACCCUGGGUCAGGCAGGUGGACUACAUGGCUGUUGUAGGCCCUUUUCUAACUGAACGGUUCUAAUAAAAAUAGGUGCACAUAACACUGUAGAAGAGCAAGAUAUCUUAAUUUUUGUUGUGAUAUCAGUUAAAUUCAACACACUGAUUUUACUAGCUAUUCUGCAAUGCACUGAGGUUAGCUACUCAAGUCUUAAAAUUCUCUUAUACAUAAAUUUAAAUGUUAGCUUAUUUCUAUGUAAACAUAAAAAUGAAGCAACACUUUAUAGGCAGUCAUGUUGUUUUACCUAAGAGAUCAGAGACACCAACACUGUAUUUAUCCAAAACGUAUUUUAGGAUACAAGGAAGACUGGGCACAUUAUCAUCAUUCGUAUGGCACACAUGGGAUGGAUUGCUUCAGCAUUAGCAAACCCCUUCUCAUUAUUUUCAUGGCAGCAGAAAUUCCUUCAGAGAAGAGGAUUUCACAGGUACCUCACUGUAAAUCCACACUUUGCCAGUUCGGAACAUACCUGUAAUAUCUUCCCCUGAAAGACAAUUCAAACGUUUUGAGGGGAAAAAAUAAAAAAAAUAUAUAUGUAUACACAUUUUCACUCCUUUAAUCUCUCUGUUGUAGUGUUAGCACCUAAUAUAAGCAUCCACUCUUCUACUAUUGUCCUAUUUACAAUCCAUUGAAUGUAUACUCUAAAAAUACAAUACAUUUUCAGAAACGUAAGGGGAAAUGCAGAGUUUUCUAAGGUUUAAAAAAGUGACAGUCAUCUGUACAGGAUCAUCAAAUUUAUCAUCCAAGAAGUAAAAUUUACAAGGCAGUAUCCAUCCACACAGCUACGUAAAGGGGCAGGUGCUACACUCAAAGCAGCAGACUUGCUAAUACAAUAAAAAACGGAAUAUGAAAGUGUUUUGGGGCAUGUGAUAAUACAUUUAGUACCACUGAAGCUAAAAAUUUAGGAUUAGCCAUAUUCUAGAAACAUGUAACUGCAAACCUGGAAAAUGUUCUGAAAAUAUUAAGCAUUAUAUACACGAGGUAAAUGUACCUUGGCCUUUUAAGAGGUAAUUAGAGUUUAAAGCGACCGAUAGUGAUUUUUUUUUUUUUUUAAACAAAAUGAUUAACACCA